UACGUAGGGGGCUAGCGUUGUCCGGAUUUAUUGGGCGUAAAGAGCGUGUAGGCGGCCAGGUAGGUCUGCUGUGAAAACUCGAGGCUCAACCUCGAGACGUCGGCGGAAACCAUCUGGCUAGAGUCCGGAAGAGGAGAGUGGAAUUCCUGGUGUAGCGGUGAAAUGCGCAGAUAUCAGGAAGAACACCCGUGGCGAAGGCGGCUCACUGGCCCGGAACUGACGCUGAGGUGCGAAAGCUAGGGGAGCGAACAGG
rnacentral:rRNA from 1 species